AGCUGAACCUGUAGAAACAAAUAAAUAAAACAGAUCAACAACAUUCAUUUUCCAACCAUCAGCAUCACUGAACCAGCACUCCUGUAUAACUGCACAUGCAGUAUAUCAACAAAGCUGAUUCUUACAGACAUUCUCACCUGAGCUCUUUGCUGCUAUGUGGUAGAUGUCAGUUUGUUUCUCUCCAGUGUCGGGGUUGGUGUAGCACAGGUGGAGACUGCCUGACUUCCAGCCCGAUGCUGGCUCAAGGACAGUGCUGAUGCUGUACAGUUCAUCCUCUCCCUGGGUGAUGUUAGCCUGACUGCGCUCAGUCACAGUCAAAUCAUUCUCAUUGGUCCAGAAGGCGGAUGGCUGGGGGACCAUCCAGAGGAGUUGAAGUGCAGACAUUUCCCUUUCAGGGAAAUACUGCCUAAUAUGGAAGGCUUUGCUGGUGAGGAUUAAGAACCAGAUAUACAAGUCACAUCCAAGCUGUAUAAAGCAACAAUGUCAGAUGACUGACAAUACAGUCCAUUCAUUUCUUGUAUUAGUUCAUUUAGUAUUUGUCAAUGAAUACAUUUGUUUUUCAUAUCUGGGCAGCUGCACCACUGCUCUUGAACAGUGUUUGAGAUAAUUAUACUGCACAAUAUACUGUCCUAAACGGGGUACUAUACAUAAUUUUAGUUAGCAACUGAUAUGAUGAAACACCAGUGAAUGGAUCAUGACCGUAAACAGGACCGUGUCUGUUGGUAGUGAAACAGCUGACCAGGAUCAUAUGGAAAAGAAUAAACAUAUUAACCCAGCAAUGAAUUGCCUGGACCGGUUGGUGUUGUUUGAAAUGAGAGUAAACAUAUAGGCUGGGUGUGUCGUGUUUUUUCUGGUUAAACUUUCAUUUGCAUUUUGAUGCUUGGUGGUGCAGUCAGACAAUUUGACUACAGACUACAGCACCCAGGAUCAGGAAGAAUGGAGAGAACCAGAGGAGUGAGGAGAGAGCCAGCUGCUUCAGAUCUGGAGCCAUUUUCAUUCAAUAUUUUGGGAUGUAUUUACAAGAAAAUAGAUCCACAUGCUUCAGAUCUGUAGCCAUUUUCAUCAAACCUUUUGGGAGAAUCUUACCGGAGGAGAGACCUGCCUGCUUUAAAUCCAGGGUUGUUUUCAUCAAAGAUUCAAGGUUUCUUUAUCUGUAUCCAGAAAUAAAUUUAUUUUUCCGGUGGGAGAUGCAGCUUUCCACAGGUACAAUGGACAACAGAGCAACACAAAUACAGCAAUACAACACAAAAGACAUCACAAGACAAGUCUCUAAACCAGUAGACCAGUAGACCAGUUUGCUGCUGGCGGUGAAGAAGAGGCAGUACCAAGUGCCAGCCAUGAGCCCAUAACUCCAGAGUGGGCAGUGUCAGAGGCAGUGCCAGGACCCAGUAAUGUGCCCAGAAAGAUCCCUGCUGUGGAAGGCACAUGUAGAGAUGAGCCUCAUAGGCCUACUGAAGGAAGUGUAAAAGAGAGAGCAGAACCUGCUCAGGGACUGAUCACUGAGGCAACAACAGCUCAGCAGCAGCCCCCUGAGCCACAAGCUAAGAAAAAACACAUGAAGAUGAGGCUGUUGAUUGUUUUGAUUACUUUGCUCACCCUCAGUCACAGGACAUAGA